rnacentral:rRNA from 1 species
UACGUAGGUGACAAGCGUUAUCCGGAUUUACUGGGCGUAAAGGGCGUGUAGGCGGUCUUGCAAGUCAGAAGUGAAAUUCCUGAGCUCAACUCGGGCGCUGCUUCUGAAACUGCAGGACUUGAGUGCUGGAGGGGAUAGCGGAAUUCCUAGUGGAGCGGUAAAAUGCGCAGAUAUUAGGAAGAACACCGGUGGCGAAGGCGGCUAUCUGGACAGUAACUGACGCUGAGGCGCGAAAGCGUGGGGAGCAAACAGGAUUAGAUCCCCUGGUAGUCCACGCCGUAAACGGUGAAUACUAGGUGUAGGGGGUAUCGACUCCCUCUGUGCCGCAGUUAACACAAUAAGUAUUCCGCCUGGGGAGUACGGCCGCAAGGUUGAAACUCAAAGGAAUUGACGGGG